rnacentral:rRNA from 1 species
AACUUAAAGGAAUUGACGGGGCCCGCACAAGCGGUGGAGUAUGUGGUUUAAUUCGAUGCAACGCGAAGAACCUUACCUGGUCUUGACAUCCCGGAGACCCUUAGGAAACUAGGGGGUGCUUCCAUCUGGAAGAAUCUGGAGACAGGUGCUGCAUGGCUGUCGUCAGCUCGUGUCGUGAGAUGUUGGGUUAAGUCCCGCAACGAGCGCAACCCUUGCCUUUAGUUGCCAGCAGUUCGGCUGGGCACUCUAAAGGGACUGCCGGUGUUAAACCGGAGGAAGGUGGGGAUGACGUCAAGUCCUCAUGGCCUUUAUGACCAGGGCUACACACGUACUACAAUGGUCGGUACAAAGGGUUGCCAAGCCGCGAGGUGGAGCUAAUCCCAUAAAACCGAUCGUAGUCCGGAUCGCAGUCUGCAACUCGACUGCGUGAAGUCGGAAUCGCUAGUAAUCGUGAAUCAGAAUGUCACGGUGAAUACGUUCCCGGGCCUU